ACGGAAGGCAGCAGUGGGGGAUAUUGCACAAUGGGGGAAACCCUGAUGCAGCGACGCCGCGUGAGUGAUGAAGUAUUUCGGUAUGUAAAGCUCUAUCAGCAGGAAAGAUAAUGACGGUACCUGACUAAGAAGCACCGGCUAAAUACGUGCCAGCGGCCGCGGUAAUACGUAUGGUGCAAGCGUUAUCCGGAUUUACUGGGUGUAAAGGGAGCGCAGACGGCAUGGCAAGCCAGAUGUGAAAGGCAGGGGCUCAACUCCUGGACUGCAUUUGGAACUGUCAAGCUAGAGUAUCGGAGAGGUAAGUGGAAUUCCUAGUGUAGCGGUGAAAUGCGUAGGUAUUAGGAGGAACACCAGUGGCGAAGGCGGCUUACUGGACGAUAACUGACGUUGAGGCUCGAAAGCGUGGGGAGCAAACAGGAUUAGAUACCCUGGUA
rnacentral:rRNA from 1 species